rnacentral:lncRNA from 1 species
CCUAGUGCAUUGGUGCACGUAGAUGGGUUGUCUUUUAGGUUUAUAGAAGACGAGAGAAGGGUAGGAGAGAUUCAAAAAGUGGGCUCGGGUUGGAGCUACUCUGUUACAGAAGAGUAGUUAGGUGUAAUCUUCUCUUAUUUAAUGAAUCUUAUUUUACCCGCAUAUUUUUUGUUUUUGUUUUUUCUCUCUUUUGUGAUUGUAUCAGCUUUUGCUGAGGAGAUGGGUUUAUGGUAAAAAUCUGAUUUGACGCUUUCAUUGUGGAAUCCCAACAAUCGGUAC